GAUGAACGCUAGCGGCAGGCCUAAUACAUGCAAGUCGAACGGUGUCUUCGGACAUAGUGGCGCACGGGUGCGUAACACGUAUGCAACCUACCUUACAUUGGGGGAUAGCCUUUCGAAAGGGAGAUUAAUACCGCAUAAGACAGUAGCUGGGCAUCCAGCAGCUGUUAAAGAUUUAUCGAUGUAAGCUGGGCAUGCGUCCAAUUAGCUAGUUGGUGAGGUAACGGCUCACCAAGGCUAUGAUUGGUAGGGGAACUGAGAGGUCAAUCCCCCACACUGGAACUGCGAUACGGGCCAGACUCCUACGGGAGGCAGCAGUAGGGAAUAUUGGGCAAUGGACGCAAGUCUGACCCAGCCAUGCCGCGUGCAGGAUGAAGGCGUUAUGCGUUGUAAACUGCUUUUAUACAGGAAGAAACGACUCUUGCGAGAGGCAUUGACGGUACUGUAUGAAUAAGCACCGGCUAACUCCGUGCCAGCAGCCGCAGUAACAC
rnacentral:rRNA from 1 species